rnacentral:piRNA from 1 species
GACUUGGCUGCCCUGUACCACGAGGC